UACGUAGGGUGCGAGCGUUAAUCGGAAUUACUGGGCGUAAAGCGUGCGCAGGCGGUUAUGUAAGACAGGUGUGAAAUCCCCGGGCUUAACCUGGGAACUGCAUUUGUGACUGCAUAGCUAGAGUACGGUAGAGGGGAUGGAAUUCCGCGUGUAGCAGUGAAAUGCGUAGAUAUGACGGAGGAACACCGAUGGCGAAGGCAAUCCCCUGGACCUGUACUGACGCUCAUGCACGAAGCGUGGGGAGCAACAGG
rnacentral:rRNA from 1 species